AUGAGAAAAAUACAGCACCACAUGCUGCAGCAGUCCGUCGACCGCCUGGCCGCGCCGGCGGCGGCCGGUGGUGGUACGAGCGUGCUCACGGACACGCUGCUCAUCCUGGCGGCGGUGCUCUGCUUCAUGAUCCGCAUGGCUGGGCUGGCCAUGGUGGCCCAGUGCUCCCGUCUGUGCAACCCCUCCGUCUUCUUCGUCGACGCGUCGGGGCAGCAGCGGCAUCGUGUAAGGGGAUCAAGAAGAAGGCGCUGCAGUCGCUGCCCAUGGACGAGCGCAUCCGGCGGAGUUCGUGAGCGGCGAGGAGGUGUGUGUGCUCCCGUCCUGGGACAGAUGACCCUCCCCCGACACCACCGCCUAUCACGCCCAUAG
rnacentral:rRNA from 1 species